rnacentral:rRNA from 1 species
AUUGAACGCUGGCGGCAGGCCUAACACAUGCAAGUCGAGCGAGCGGCGGACGGGUGAGUAAUGUCUAGGAAACUGCCUGAUGGAGGGGGAUAACUACUGGAAACGGUAGCUAAUACCGCAUACCAUCAGAUUUGCCCAGAUGGGAUUAGCUAGUAGGUGGGGUAACGGCUCACCUAGGCGACGAUCCCUCGCUGGUCUGAGAGGAUGACCAGCCACACUGAGCAUGAGACACGGUCCAGAAUCCGACGGGAGGCAGCAGUGGGGAAUAUUGAACAAUGGGGGCAAGCCUGAUGCAGCAAUGCCGCGUGUGUGAAGAAGGCCUGCGGGUUGUAAAGCACUGUCAGCGGGGAGGCGUUACCCGCAGAAGAAGCACCGGCUAACUCCGUGCCAGCAGCCGCGGUAAUUC